GCCCAUUUGGCUCAGUGAAUAGAGUGUCGGCCUGUGAACCGAAGUGUUUAGGGUUCAAUUCCUGUCAAGGGCA
rnacentral:tRNA from 1 species